UAAGGGCGCACGGUGGAUGCCUUGGCACUAGAAGCCGAUGAAGGACGUUACUAACGACGAUAUGCUUUGGGGAGCUGUAAGUAAGCUUUGAUCCAGAGAUUUCCGAAUGGGGAAACCCAGCAUGAGUUAUGUCAUGUUAUCGAUAUGUGAAUACAUAGCAUAUCAGAAGGCACACCCGGAGAACUGAAACAUCUUAGUACCCGGAGGAAGAGAAAGAAAAUUCGAUUCCCUUAGUAGCGGCGAGCGAAACGGGAAGAGCCCAAACCAACAAGCUUGCUUGUUGGGGUUGUAGGACACUCUAUACGGAGUUACAAAGGACGACAUUAGACGAAUCAUCUGGAAAGAUGAAUCA
rnacentral:rRNA from 1 species